GAUGAAAGCAAAAAGAGAGGGGGGUUUAGACACAGUGGUAAGCCCGGGCGCCCGCCCGCCUGGCGCUCCAGAUUCGCCCGGGUGCAGUGCCGGAGUUCUGCAGCAUCCCGCUCCGCAGCCCCGAGAGCAACCGAGACGCGCAGCUCUCCGCCUGGUCGCGGCCCGCGCCCCUCAUGGCAGCCCCUUCCCGCCCGCAUCCCGGGCCUGGGGAGCACCUCUCCGGUUCCGGACAGCUGCGGAAUAGCGCUCCAGAUCAUCCAUUCAUGAGGAUAAGUCCCUGAUUUGAAGUCUCCUUUUCUAAUACUGAAUGAACCAUUGUUCUCGGUACAAUUCCUGAGAAGUUGGAAAAGGAAAACUUCUCCAACUCUGGCUUUGCC